AAUAUAUAGCAUAGAGAGAAACAGAGAAAGGGAAAGGCACGGAGGAAAGAUGCGGACAUCGUGAGUCAGAGGGGAAAUAAUAGAG